CUAGUUGGUAAGGUAACGGCUUACCAAGGCGACGAUCAGUAGCCGACCUGGGAGGGUGAUCGGCCACAUUGGAACUGAGACACGGUCCAAACGCCUACGGGAGGCAGCAGUGGGGAAUAUUGCACAAGGGGCGAAAGCCUGAUGCAGCAACGCCGCGUGAGUGAUGAAGGCCUUCGGGUCGUAAAACUCUGUCCUCAAGGAAGAUAA
rnacentral:rRNA from 1 species